CCAUGCUGCCAAGAAAAGCCUCUAGCGAGCUUCGAGCGGCCCGUACCCCAAACCGACACAGGUGGUCAGGUAGAGAAUACCGAGGCGAUCGGGCGAACUGUGGUUAAGGAACUCGGCAAAUUACCCCCGUAACUUCGGGAGAAGGGGGGCCACAGACUGUCAUACCCCACGCGGGUGGCAGCAGUAGGUGGCCGCAGAGACCAGGGGGAAGCGACUGUUUACUAAAAACACAGGUCCGUGCGAAGUCGUAAGACGAUGUAUACGGACUGACGCCUGCCCGGUGCUGGAACGUUAAGGGGACCGGUUAGUCCGCAAGGGCGAAGCUGAGAACUUAAGCGCCAGUAAACGGCGGUGGUAACUAUAACCAUCCUAAGGUAGCGAAAUUCCUUGUCGGGUAAGUUCCGACCUGCACGAAUGGCGUAACGACUUCCCUACUGUCUCAACCACAGGCCCGGCGAAAUUGCACUGCGAGUAAAGAUGCUCGUUACGCGCGGAAGGACGGAAAGACCCCGGGACCUUCACUAUAGCUUGACAUUGGUAUCCGAAUUUAAUUGUGUAGGAUAGGUGGGAGGCUUUGAUCCGCGGACGCCAGUCCGUCGGGGAGCCAACGUUGAAAUACCACUCUGUUGAAUUUGGGUAUCUAACUUCGGACCGUGAUCCGGUUCAGGGACAGUGUCUGGUGGGUAGUUUAACUGGGGCGGUUGCCUCCUAAAAUGUAACGGAGGCGCCCAAAGGUUCCCUCAGCCUGGUUGGCAAUCAUGUGUUGAGUGCAAGUGCACAAGGGAGCUUGACUGUGAGACUGACAGGUCGAGCAGGGACGAAAGUCGGGACUAGUGAUCCGGCACCUGCGAGUGGAAGCGGUGUCGCUCAACGGAUAAAAGGUACCCCGGGGAUAACAGGCUGAUCUUCCCCAAGAGUCCAUAUCGACGGGAUGGUUUGGGCACCUCGAUGUCGGCUCGUCGCAUCCUGGGGCUGGAGUAGGUCCCAAGGGUUGGGCUGUUCGCCCAUUAAAGCGGCACGCGAGCUGGGUUUAGAACGUCGUGAGACAGUUCGGUCCCUAUCCUCCGCGCGCGUAGGAGACUUGAGAAGAGCUGUCCCUAGUACGAGAGGACCGGGACGGACGAACCUCUGGUGUGCCAGUUGUCAUGCCAAUGGCACGGCUGGUUAGCUACGUUCGGAAGGGAUAACCGCUGAAAGCAUCUAAGCGGGAAGCUCGCUUCAAGAUGAGGUCUCCCACCCCUUGAGGGUUAAGGCCCCCAGCUAGACCACUGGGUUGAUAGGCCAGAAGUGUAAGCCUGGUAACAGGUUCAGCCGACUGGUACUAAUAGGCCGAGGACUAA
rnacentral:rRNA from 1 species